rnacentral:rRNA from 1 species
AGAGUUUGAUCCUGGCUCAGAUUGAACGCUGGCGGCAUGCUUUACACAUGCAAGUCGAAUGGCAGCACGGGGGCAACCCUGGUGGCGAGUGGCGAGCGGGUGAGUAAUGCAUCGGAACGUAUCCUUGAGUGGGGGAUAACGCAGCGAAAGUUGUGCUAAUACCGCAUAAGCUCUGAGGAGGAAAGCGGGGGACCGAAAGGCCUCGCGCAGCAGGAUGAGCCGAUGUCCGAUUAGCUAGUUGGUGGGGUAACGGCCUACCAAGGCGACGAUCGGUAGCUGGUCUGAGAGGAUGAUCAGCCACACUGGGACUGAGACACGGCCCAGACUCCUACGGGAGGCGAC